GGGGCCGUAGCACAGAGGUCGUUGCGCUUCCUUGCUCAGGAGGAGGACGCCGGUUCGAAUCCGGCCGCCCCG
rnacentral:tRNA from 3 species